rnacentral:rRNA from 1 species
GAUGAACGCUAGCUACAGGCUUAACACAUGCAAGUCGAGGGGAAACGACAUCGAAAGCUUGCUUUUGAUGGGCGUCGACCGGCGCACGGGUGAGUAACGCGUAUCCAACCUGCCCACCACUUGGGGAUAACCUUGCGAAAGUAAGACUAAUACCCAAUGAUAUCCCACGAAGACAUCUGAAUGGGAUUAAAGAUUUAUCGGUGAUGGAUGGGGAUGCGUCUGAUUAGCUUGUUGGCGGGGUAACGGCCCACCAAGGCAACGAUCAGUAGGGGUUCUGAGAGGAAGGUCCCCCACAUUGGAACUGGGACACGGUCCAAACUCCUACGGGAGGCAGCAGUGAGGAAUAUUAGGCAAUGGGCGAGAGCCUGAACCAGCCAAGUAGCGUGCAGGAAGACGGCCCUAUGGGUUGUAAACUGCUUUUAGAAGGGAAUAAAGUGGGUCACGUGUGACUUUUUGCAUGUACCUUAUGAAUAAGGACCGGCUAAUUCCGUG